AUGGGGCCAGCGGCAGGAGAUGGGACGAGGAGGAAGACGGCGUGUGUCCCCUGUGGGUACGGCUACGUCGCGUCGGCGCUAGUCAAGCUGCUCCUGGAGAAGGGAUACGCCGUGAAGACCACCCUCAGAAACCCCGAUGGCAAGGUGAAAAACAAGCACCUGAAAGAUCUGCAGGCGCUCGGCCCCUUGGAGGUGUUCCGCGCCGACCUCGACGAAGAGGGCAGCUUCGACGACGCCGUCGCCGGCUGCGACUACGUCUUCUUCGACGCCCCUCCGGUGAACCUCCACGCAGAGAACCCUGAGAAAGAUGUGAUCGAGCCGGCCGUCCACGGGAUCCUGAACGUGAUGAGGUCGUGCGUCAGAGCGGGAACAGUGAAGCGCGUGGUGCUGACAUCGUCGGCGGCCGCGGUCUCCACCUUGCCGCAGGAAGGCGACGGUCAUGUCCUGGAUGAGGAAUCCUGGGCCGACGUCGAGUUCCUCACGUCGGGAAAGACCCAUGCUUGGGUACACACACAUGAGUAUUUUGAUUUUCAGUUCGUUGAGUCAUUCGAAACGAUGAUGACGCUGGCCUACCGUUGUGUAGGGGUUCCCUGCAUCAGCCUCGUCACUGUGUGCCCGGGCCUCAUGGUGGGCGCGGCGCCGGCGGCCAAGGUCCAUCCCAGCGUCCUUGACGUCCUCUCGCUGCUCUCGGGCGAUGAAGCGAGGGUCCGCACCCUUAAAUUCAUCGUGAGGAUGUCUGGCUCCAUUCCGUUGGUCCAUGUCGACGACAUCUGCCGCGCUGAGAUAUUCGUGGCCGAGGAGGAGGCGGCGUCGGGGCGGUACAUCUGCUGCAGCCUUAACACCACCGUAGUGGAGCUAGCCCGCUUCUUGGCGGCCAAGUACCCGCACUACAACGUCAACACCGACCGGUUCUGCGGUCUUCUGGAGAAGCCGAGAGUCUGCAUUUCUUCGGCGAAGCUCCUCGGGGAAGGGUUCGAGUACAAGUUCAAGAACCUGGAUGAAAUAUACGACGACAUCAUCAAGUACGGCAAGGACCUGGGAAUCCUUCCAUACUAA
rnacentral:rRNA from 1 species